UACAGAGGGUGCAAGCGUUAAUCGGAAUUACUGGGCGUAAAGCGCACGCAGGCGGUUUUUUAAGUCAGAUGUGAAAGCCCCGGGCUCAACCUGGGAAUUGCAUUUGAAACUGGGAAACUAGAGUGUGUGAGAGGGGGGUAGAAUUCCAAGUGUAGCGGUGAAAUGCGUAGAGAUUUGGAGGAAUACCAGUGGCGAAGGCGGCCCCCUGGCACAACACUGACGCUCAGGUGCGAAAGCGUGGGGAGCAAACAGG
rnacentral:rRNA from 1 species